UACGAAGGGAGCUAGCGUUGUUCGGAUUUACUGGGCGUAAAGCGCGUGUAGGCGGGUCGUUAAGUUGGGGGUGAAAUCCCGAGGCUCAACCUCGGAACUGCCUUCAAAACUGGCGACCUGGACUCAAGUAGAGGCAAGUGGAAUUGCGAGUGUAGAGGUGAAAUUCGUAUAUAUUCGCAGGAACACCAGUGGCGAAGGCGACUUGCUGGACUUGUAGUGACGCUGAGACGCGAAAGCGUGGGGAGCAAACAGG
rnacentral:rRNA from 1 species